UACGUAGGGUGCGAGCGUUAAUCGGAAUUACUGGGCGUAAAGCGUGCGCAGGCGGUUUUGUAAGCCAGAUGUGAAAUCCCCGGGCUUAACCUGGGAACUGCGCUUGUUACUGGCAAGCUAGAGUGUGGCAGAGGGGGGUGGAAUUCCAGGUGUAGCAGUGAAAUGCGUAGAGAUCUGGAGGAACACCGAUGGCGAAGGCAGCCCCCUGGGCUAACACUGACGCUCAUGCACGAAAGCGUGGGGAGCAAACAGG
rnacentral:rRNA from 1 species